UGGGUGACCUGGCAGGGGAGAUCCCAUGAUCACCAAGGUGGUUUUCUCAGGCUGAGGCCCAUCCCUUGCACUCUAGGCAGGCUGACCCCUGCAAGUUUCUCCAAAUGUGGGAAAAUUGACUGCACAAUUUUGUGGCAGUAGGAGCUGGGGUUUUUUUGGCUUUCCCCCUG
rnacentral:snRNA from 1 species